ACAAACUUGGUCAUUUAGAGGAAGUAAAAGUCGUAACAAGGUUUCCGUAGGUGAACCUGCGGAAGGAUCAUUAACGUAUCUGGCGACGCGGUCCGCCCCGCUCCGGUCGAGAGGCCGUGCAGCGGGCGUUCUGCGCCGUCCAACCUUACAAACCCACCGUGCACAUUCACGGCGGAGGGACGUCGGGCGAGAGCCUGCGGCCCCGAUGCCGUUUCACAAACACGAACCUAAAGAAUGAACGCGUCCCAAGUGGUCGCCUAACAAACGAAACAACUUUCAACAACGGAUCUCUUGGCUCUCGCAUCGAUGAAGAACGCAGC
rnacentral:misc_RNA from 1 species